rnacentral:rRNA from 1 species
GUAACAUUUCUAGCUUGCUAGAAGAUGACGAGUGGCGGACGGGUGAGUAAUGCUUGGGAACUUGCCUUUGCGAGGGGGAUAACAGUUGGAAACGACUGCUAAUACCGCAUAAUGUCUUCGGACCAAACGGGGCUUAGGCUCCGGCGCAAAGAGAGGCCCAAGUGAGAUUAGCCAGUUGGUAAGGUAACGGCUUACCAAGGCGACGAUCUCUAGCUGUUCUGAGAGGAAGAUCAGCCACACUGGGACUGAGACACGGCCCAGACUCCUACGGGAGGCAGCAGUGGGGAAUAUUGCACAAUGGGGGAAACCCUGAUGCAGCCAUGCCGCGUGUGUGAAGAAGGCCUUCGGGUUGUAAGGCACUUUCAGUUGUGAGGAAAAGUUAGUAGUUAAUACCUGCUAGCCGUGACGUUAACAACAGAAGAAGCACCGGCUAACUCCGUGCCAGCAGCCGCGGUAAUACGGAGGGUGCGAGCGUUAAUCGGAAUUACUGGGCGUAAAGCGCACGCAGGCGGUUUGUUAAGCUAGAUGUGAAAGCCCCGGGCUCAACCUGGGAUGGUCAUUUAGAACUGGCAGACUAGAGUCUUGGAGAGGGGAGUGGAAUUCCAGGUGUAGCGGUGAAAUGCGUAGAUAUCUGGAGGAACAUCAGUGGCGAAGGCGACUCCCUGGCCAAAGACUGACGCUCAUGUGCGAAAGUGUGGGUAGCGAACAGGAUUAGAUACCCUGGUAGUCCACACCGUAAACGCUAUCUACUAGCUGUGUGUGCCUUUAAGGCGUGCGUA